ensembl:misc_RNA 7SK 7SK RNA
GGAUGUGAGGGCGAUCUGGCUGCGACAUCUGUCACCCCAAUGAUCGCCAGGGUUGAUUCGGCUGAUCUGGCUGGCUAAGCGGGUGUCCCCUUCCUCCCUCACCGCUCCAUAUGCCUCCCUUUCGAAGCUGCGCGCUUGGUCGAAGAGGACGGCCUUCCCCAAAUAGAGAUGGACCGGUCCUAGGUCGAGGGUAUACAAGUAGCUGCACUUCCCUGCUAGAACCUCCAAACAAGCUCUCAAGAACUCUUAGGGCAGUUGAGCAGUAGUGCAGCAGGUUAAGCACAGGUGGCUCAAAGCU